GGUUUUAACCCAGUUAAUUGAGGUUAGCAAUAAUUUCGACCUUUCGAAAGAUUGUGUUGAAUAACAAUAAUUUUUGGAACAGCUUCUUCGGGGAUAUCCGAUGAAGCAAA
ensembl:snRNA sls-2.12 ncRNA